AGGAGAAAGGAGAUACAAGUAGCCUCUCCAGGAAGAAUGUGACUGAAUACUUUUUAUACAAAACCACAAAAUUAGAUAAAUAUGUAUUUAAGUGUUAUUCCUGAAAGCUGGAGAAAGAAAUCUUACUUCUAAGAAUUGUUUAGCGAAGGAAUAAGAAAAUGUGAUGCUUGGAAGAAAAAACACACUGCCGAGAGGCCUUGUUGCUGAGUGUGCUGAACAAUAGACAACCUCUAAGGAUGCUCGCCUGCAAUUCCGGCUCUGCCAUCAAUUCACUGUAUGCCUUUGGAUCAUCUACAAGACAUGAAUGAUGUUCAGAAUUACUUGUCAUGCCCUUUGCUUGGGGCUGAAAACAAGAUGCAGUCGCACAGAUUUCAAUGGAGUGUGUACUCUAGAGGCAGACUGCGUGGGAUCAAAAUGCUUGCAGUAUAACCAUUGACAGCUUCCAUAACUUAUCUCUUCCCAGUAUGCAACUAAGACAUGCCUGAGUGAAGUUUCCUAGGAGCCAAAUAAUUAAUCCAACAUUUAUCUGAAAUGCUGAACUAACUUGCAUAAUUCUUCAAAUGAAUAUCACACCUUCGAUGGGGAUAUACAAAUUGUUUCAACCUGAGGCUUGAAAAUAUGUGUCAUAAAGCAUUCUGAUUUAUCAAGAACACGUUGUAAUUUGUUGCAUUUGGAAUGUAGCAACCUAACUUCCUGAAUAUUUUAAUAAAAUACCUGUAAAAUUACACAAUCAAAACUAUACCUCCACCGAGCAAAGUGACAGAGAUGGUACUAACAUCAACAAAAAGGUAAGAGAAUGGUAAAUUUCAAAAGGUUCUAGCUGUUUCUGUACUCUCUGUACUCUUACAGUGAAAUCAAGCGCUGAAAAAGAUUCUAGGCUUAAAAUUCAAUUAAAGCAAACACUUUGACAAUUAUUUUACUAUUUGAUGUAAAAAAUAGAUUUUUUUGUCUAGUGCUUUAGUUCUUUGCCUCUUUUUAAUUUUUUCUUAUGUAUGGUUUUAUUUUAAAGUUCCACUGAGGCAAUAUACAU